rnacentral:lncRNA from 7 species
UGGUGAUGCACGCACGCACGGGAUUGUGCCUGUGCCUGCGUACGUACGGGUACGGCCGCCGGCAGAGGGCGACGUGGCAGGGGACGUACGGCGGCGCUGCGCUAUGCAUGCGAUUGCGAUGCCGAUAUGAUACGCGCGGCUGGCACUGGCAGGCAGCAAAUGGCAACCAGCUGUUGGCAAUCAUGCUGGGAAAGACAAGCACUGGCAAUCGAGUGGACACAUUUCAAAUGGGUUUCACUGGCUAUACCCUGUUCGAGCGGAUUAAUAUAUUACCUACCAGUGCAAACAAUUUAAAAUAGUACACCACGGCUCGGUCAAUAUAUAUGGACAACUAAGGAACACAGACACCCUGCACCGGCCGUACCCACCAAUGCGACAAACAAACACCUUCGCAUGAUUAAUAUAUUACCACAUGACUGUCAAUACAGGAUAUAGAUCACGAAAUAGCCUCUGCCUAGCGAGUCGGUAUAAGACACGAUACGUUUAAUAGUACAAAACGGCUCGGCCCGAUACGAUUUAAAGGAAACCCAUGCGUCUUCUCGGCACACAGUGCCGACCCGUUUCUUUAUGAUUGUUAUAUUUCCAAAUUAUUAGUACCUAUCCU